CAACGUAGGGCAGACGGUCGCUGGAACCCUUAGAGGGUUCUGGAGGAAAGUCCGAACACCGCAGGGCAGGGUGCUCCAUAACGUGGAGUCGUGGUAACGCGAAGGAAAGUGCAACAGAAAAUACACCGCCUGCCUGAACCUCUUUCGAGAGGCGAGGGCCGGUAAGGGUGAAAUGGUGCGGUAAGAGCGCACCAGUCUUCCGGGUGACCGGAGGGCUUGGCAAACCCCACCCGGUGCAAGACCAAAUAAGGAAGCGUCUGAGGGCUGCCCGUCCGAGCUUCCGGGUAGGUCGCUUGAGGUGCCGGGCAACCGGCAUCCCAGAGGAAUGACCGUCGUUCCGCUUCGGGUAACCGGCGCGGAAAACAGAAUUCGGCUUAUGAACUGCGUUGGCCU
rnacentral:RNase_P_RNA from 1 species